GCAGGCUGCAACUCGCCUGCAUGAAGCUGGAAUUGCUAGUAAUCGCGGAUCAGCAAGCCGCGGUGAAUACGUUCCCGGGCCUUGUACACACCGCCCGUCACACCAUGAGAGUCGGGAACACCCGAAGUCCGUAGCCUAACAGCAAUGAGGGCGCGGCCGAAGGUGGGUUCGAUAAUUGGGGUGAAGUCGUAACAAGGUACC
rnacentral:rRNA from 1 species